GAACACUUUGUUCGAGGUUCCCAUUUUCAUGAACGCUUGUUCACGAUUUUGGGAACUCUUUUUUCUCCGUGUAGAUGAUCGGACCAGACACCAACUCCAUGACCUGGAACGAGUUGUGUAAUCCGUACUAGUACAUCUCCGGGGCACAAUCGGCAUAGGUCCACGACCCGUUGGCCAAGUCCGAAACAUUUCCGGUGGCGUCAAUCACUCCAGUAACAUCGGCCACAAUUGCCGUUCCGACGGACAACUAAUUCUGAUUGACCAAUGGGAAUGAAAAGCUCGACUUGGAUUGCAGUAGGAAAAGGGUGUGGCCUCGGUUGUGGCCUACACAGAAAAAAUAUGUACAUUUCCACGUCAUGUAAACUAUGUUUUUAAUGUAAAUUUGGAACAUGUAAAAAUUAAAUCGUAUGUAAAAUGCUAAAUCAGAUGUAAAAUGCAAUCAUGUAAAAUAAAAUUGCAUGUAAAUAAUAAAUUUCAUGUAAAUGGAAUUGAAUUAGGCUUUUAUGAUUCAAUCUGAAUCAUGUAAAUCUUGAAACUAAUGUAAAAAUCAUUCAAUGUAAAUGAGAAACGCAUGUAAUUGCGACCGCUGUUCACCGAGUGACAGCUAAUCAGAAUAUAACAGUUCGAAUAUUGUGGAUUUAGCUCGUAGCUGGAUUUUCUGGCAUCUUCUCACGAUCAUUGAAAACGUUCGUGGAUAGACCUACACAGAAAAAAUAUGUAAAUUUACACAGCACGUAAUUACUGUUUCUUAUGUAAACUCACUCAAUGUAAUUUUGAAAUAUGAUGUAAAGAGUAAAAAGUCGUGGAAAUUACUCCAAUGUAAAUCUAAAUCUAAUGUAAAUCAUGAAUCUAAUGGAAACGUUGAGCAUGGAAACUCAAAUCUGAUGAAUUUCUACCCGUGUUCAGCUUCCUGUAAAUUCCUAUUUAAUGUAAAUCAUAUAUCCAAUGUAUUUCUGCCAAACGUUGACUUCAAAACUACCCGAACUAAAAAUAGUUAUAUUUGGUUCUCUUUCUAUCGCUCUCAUACUUCGCUGGCCCACUGCCUGAGCCUCGACCUGAACAAGGUGAUGCUUUAGCCGAUCGUUUAUAAAAUGCGAAGAUGGCUCAGUCGGCAGCGGGUAGCAUCAGUAACACCGAACAUUCUACCCGUCGUUCGUUCGAUUCCAGUCCGGCGUUAUUCAACUUGGCCUUCUACGAGAAAGCGUCCCCUACCUGUGAAACAACUUUUUUAAAAUCCGAAUUUCCUUUUGCUGCCCGCUUCAAUCAUUUUAAAAUAGAACAUAGGCCACACCCUUUUCCUACUGCAAUCCAAGUCGAGCUUCUCAUUCCCAUUGGCCAAUCAGAAUUAGUGGAUUUGAACUAAUGUAAAUUCCAAAAGUAAUGUAAAUUCCAAAACUAAUGUAAAUUUUCAAAACUGAUGUAAAUUUCCAAUGAAUGUAAUGUCAAUUUCCAAUGAACCUAAUGUAAAUAUACAUCAUUUAUCAUGAUACCUUUUGGUACAUGAUAAAUAAUGUAAAUUUACAGAAAUAUUUUUUUCUGUGUAGGGGUUCCCAGUUGGAGUGAAAAAAAUCAAUUUAUAGAAAAAAUAUGGAUUAACAUUUUGCUUUUUUAUCACUUCUCCGACAUCAGGAAUAAUUGUUUGAACAUGCUCGGAAUUUUUUUAUUCGGUCGGAAAAAUAUUAUUUUUCUUGAAAACACUUUUAUUUUUAAUCACAUGAUCACCCCUAAUUCUGGCUCGAUGCCGCCAUCAUGCGACCGCGUGCUCCGUUUGUUUGUCAACAAAGCUGCAGCUGGACGGUGAGACGAAGUGAGGGGGGAAGAGAUUUUGACAUUUUUAUGCCCGCAUCUGGCCCGCCGCCUAUUUCGUCGGUCACUGAGCCGCCGGUCGUUUCCAGUGACCGAGUCCAGCUAGGUACUGAUCGUACAAUAUUUUGUUGUUUGGAAACGGUCGUUCCUGAACGGGUUCAGUUGAUUGCGGCUUCAACUAAGCAAUAUUGCCGCUCCUCAAAUGAUUCAAAUCAAAACAAUCGGAGUGUGUUGAUUUUUUGAAGCUGGAGGUUUGUAAAUUUGAUUUGUUUCAAGUGCUUAUUUACAUUGUUUAUUUUUAGCAUCUUCUUUAGUUCUAAGUAUCCGCAGAGCCGGGAAUGGAUUUGACUGGAUUGCUGCCGUCACCCGGCAAAGAAAACCAGUCUCUCCAAAGCACCGGAGCCGGAAUCUUCCUCCACUCGCGGUCUGAUUCUUAAGUGGACGACCCAAACGGCGACAUCCUGGAGGAUAUUUAACGGUGCAAACGCUUGGUCCCGCCGAAAAAGGAUGACGGCAAUCGGAAGGAAGCGGAUUAGGGUUCCAAUGAUCACGGGAUACCAUGAACGUCGCCAGGAUGCCAGAGGUUUCAAUUCUCUGUGAGAUUUUUGCGCAGUCAGUACAAACCGGGCGAGGUUUUUGAGAAGUUUGAUUAGUUUCCGGUUAGCGAUAGUAUCUUCAAUACUGUGAUGUAAGUUUCUACACUACUAAAAAGUAUAUGGGUCAUUCCACCUGAAGUGUUUAAAUGGCCGUAUCUCAAAACAGCCCUAUUUAUUUUUCAAAUUUGACCUCACCAUCUUAUUCCCAGGCCAAUUUUACAUAAGAAUCACUUAUCGACAGAAAGGAAUAUGUUUCGUUCUAGAGAUAUCGAAUUUUAAAGUUUUAAGUAUUUGAGAUUACCUAAAUUAGCUACACUCGCCGCAUCUGCUAGAAGCACUCGGGCACGCUGAUCAAUAACUGCUACCUGGUUAUUUAUUGAAAUAAGAUUUCAUCCCAAAUAAUCAUUUGCAAAUUAGGCAAAAGUUGAAUAUACCUACACCACUGUAGGAAACUGAGGUAUAAUCUUAAUUUAAAAAAAAAAAUAGUAUACGGUGAAUUUGUGUGCUAGUCCACAGGACAGAGCAAGAACGACACGCAAUACAGGGCAGAAUUGAAUUCCCGCAGAGCUAGCAGGAAAUUGCAAUUGAUCUUGUAAGUAACACUUAAGAAAAAGUGUAUGAUACAUUAUCGUGUUAAAAAUUAUGAAUUAACAUGAAUGAAAACUCUCGUGAAGCAUGAUUAAGGAGGAGGAUUUCUGGAAAGUAUAAAACUGAAAAAUGUAUGAAAAUCACAAAGAUUAAUCUGAUUUACUAUCUGAUUAAGAUCAAAUUUAGUUGUGUUGAUUUCGACACCGUCCGAACAAUAAUAUAAUUUUUUGUUUGUAAUAAUUUCGAAAUCUUGGAAGACGAUACAGCUGCUGUCCACUGUAUCAGAAGUAUAUGGUUUUGUUUUUGAAAUUAAUGUACCAGAAUUGAAAAAAAUCAUCAAUUAUUCAGAUGAAACUGGCUCAGAAUAUAAAAAUCGGUAUAAUAUGAUCAAUCUUUCAAACCGUAAGGCAGAUUUUGGGGUUUUUGCUGAAUGGCACUAUUUCGCUACCGCACAUGGCAAAAGCCCUAGAACCCAUGAGAAUUAUUUCAUCUACUACAGCCAGCUCUACAUGUGUUCUCGCUUCAAAUAAAAGAAGAAAUAGAAGAAAUAAUUUGAUAAAGUUGGAAGAAAUGAGGAAUUAGGAAAAAAAAGAAAAUAAUAGAAAAAUGAUAAAUUAUUGUAAAUUGUAUUGAAAAAACUCUCGUUACUUAAUCCACCUUUAGGUGGUUGGUGCCUUCCUCACAUUCAUAAAGUCAAUACAUUCAGUAAAAAUAGCAACAUUCCCUUAACAAGCAUGUCUUACAAAUCAACUUUAUUACUAAUUUCUUUUGAUAGGGUUCGCAGACCUUCAAUUUGUCUGGCUCAUCGGCAAAAAAAACCAUUCCAACGAUAGUUCGCAUGGAAGAUUCAGACAAUAUUUUUAUCACAAUAUCUGAAAUCCGACCUCUAAAAUGUGUAUAAAUAACACUUAAGUGCUAAUAACUUUUGAAAGGGGUGGCAGAUCCUCGAUGUAUUAGGCUCAUUUGAAAGGAUUGUCUAACUAACGACAGGUCGCAUGAUGGACCCGGACAUCAUUUUUACUGAAAUAUCUGAGAUCCGGCCUCCAAAAAGUUAUAAAUGUCACUUAAGUGCCAAUAACUUUUGAUAGGGUUGUCAGAUCCUUGAUGUUUUAGACUCAUUUGAAAGAUCUUUCGAUUAUCUAACUAACGACAGGACGCAUGAUGGACCCGGACAUCAUUUUUACUAAAAUAUUUGAGAUCCGGCCUCCAAAAAGUGUAUAAAUAACACUUAAGUGCAAAUAACUUUUGAUAGGGUUGUCAGAUCCUUAAUGUUUUAGGCUCAUUUGAAAGGUCUUUCGAUUGUCUAACUAACGACAGGUUGCAUGAUGGACCCGGACAUCAUUUUUACUAAAAUAUCUGAGAUCCAGCCUCCAAAAAGUGUAUAAAUAACACUUAAGUGCCAAUAACUUUUGAUAGGGUUGUCAGAUUCUUGAUGUUUUAGACUCAUUUGAAAGGUCUUUCGAUUAUCUAAUUAACGACAGGUCGCAUGAUGGACCCGGACAUCAUUUUUACUGAAAUAUCUGAGAUCCGGCCUCCAAAAAGUGUAUCAAUAACAGUUAAGUGCUAAUAACUUUUGAUAGGGUUGUCAGAUCCUUGAUGUAUUAGGCUCAUUUGAAAGGUCUUUUGAUUAUCUAACUAACGACAGGUCGCAUGAUGGACCCGGACAUCAUUUUUACUAAAAUAUUUGAGAUCCGGCCUCCAAAAAGUGUAUAAAUAACACUUAAGUGCCAAUAACUUUUGAUAGGGUUGUCAGAUCCUUGAUGUUUUAGGCUCAUUUGAAAGGUCUUUCGAUUAUCUAACUAACGAUGGGUUGCAUGAUGGACCCGGACAUCAUUAUCAUUGAAAUAUCUGAGAUCCGGCCUCCAAAAAGUGUAUAAAUAACACUUAAGUACUAAUAACUUUUGAUAGGGUUAUCAGAUCUUCAAUGUUUUGGGCUCAUUGGAAAGGUAUUUUUAAUACCUUUCUGAAAAUGUAUAACAUGAUAGGGUUUCUUGCAAAAACCACCCUUUUUACAAUCUUCCGGACAUACGCCGAAAUCGUUUUUUUAGCAUAACUUUUGAAGUACUUAACUAAACUUGCUGAUUUUAAAUAGAGACCUAUGGGACCCCAAGACGGAUCGAAUGAGACUACUACGGUCAAAAUCCGUUCAUCCAGUCCGGAGAUAAUCGAGUGACAAUUUUUUUGUCCACCCACCUACACACAUCCACACAGACAUUUGCUCAGAACAUGAUUCUGAGUCGAUAGGUAUACGUGAAGGUGGGUCUACAAGGUCGAAUUAAGAAGUUCAUUUUCCGAGUGAUUUUAUAGCCUUUCCUCAGUAAGGUGAGGAAGGCAAAACUCUGUAGCAUUUGCAAAUUAAUAUGAAAAUUUCAAAUUUUACUUAAUAUGGUUCAAUGACACUGAGAUCAGGAAAAACAUUGCAUUAAAAAUUAUCCAAUAAAUAUUCCUUAUACAUAAGGCUACCAACUGUACGGAUUUUUUCCUUACCAUACGGAUUUUCGAACCUCUUCGCGGAUUUUUAACAGGCCGGAAUUUUUGUAGGGAAUUUUACGCAUAAUACGGAUUUUUACGGAAUUUUAACAACUUUUUAAUCAUUGAAUUGCUUUUUUGAUUUGGUUGAAGCUUUUGUUAACUACACAGAAAAAAUAUGUGAAUUUACUUGACACGGAAAAAAUGAAUUACAUGUAAACUCAGUUGAUGUUAACGUAAGAUUCGACGUAAACGGUUGAAUCACACGUAAAAUCAUGUUUUUACGUAUAAUUUGUUACAAAUUUACAUCAAAUUGCAUUUAAAUUUAAAUGUUUAAUGACGUGCAAAAGUGUUACAUCAUAAAUGAUGUAACAUUCGGAAAUAUUUUUUUGUGUGUAGAAAUUUUUAUUUUUCUGUGAGUUUGAAUUAAAAAGGGAGAGUUUUCCUGGGUUUCCUCAAUUAAAACUUGAUUAUCAAUAAUUCUAGAGUUUUGUCUUUCAUAUGUUGAUAGGACCUUUAAAAAAACUCUAGAAUUGUUCUUUUAGAAAUUCCUUACUAUAUAUAUUUAUCAAUUUCCAAAGGCUUUCUAAAACUUGUGAAAACAUUUGAACAUGUGAAUUAACAAAUCUAGAGUUUUUUUUAAGGUCCUAUAAACUGUUGUGUUUCACAUGUUAUAGGACCUUUUCAAUAAAAAAAAACUCUGGAAAAGUGUUCGUGAAAACACUAAGAACGGUAUUAUUCGUAAAAGCAAACUUGACAUUUUGUAAACUUUAAAACGUUUAACAAAAAACAUUGAAGAACAUAACGAUUUGAUUCAAAUCACGGUUUAUUUUAUGAAUACUUUUAAACGUGCAACGUGUGAAAUUUGUUAGCUGUAAAAACGACUCAGUUUUAUGUUUUUAAUUCUCAAAUUUAUUAAAUUUAAUUUAUAUAAAUAAUUCAUUGACAGUUUUUGUUAUACCAUGGUGUCAUAUCGGCAAAGUGUACGGAUUUUUGCUCAGCAAGAGUUGGUAGCCUUACUUAUACAUAAAUAGAUUGUUCAAGGUAUUGAUCGUAUAAAAUUAUAAAAAUAAUUCAUCUUACCUGGUGUAGGUAGUAAUUAUUGUUCAGCACGACUGAGUGCUUCUAGCAGAUGCGGCGAGUGUAGCUGAUGUGAGGUCAAAUUUGAAAAAUAAAUAGGGCUGUUUUGAGAUACGGACAUUUAAAGUUUUCAAUUGCGCAAUACAGGUAGAAAAAAUAUUUUAAUCUGAAUUUUGAUCACAAAUUCAAAAUUGUGUUUAAGACCGACCCUCUAAGAUUUGUGGUUCCUGAGUUAUCGUCGUUUGAAGAUAGGGGUUUCGCUCAAAAAUCGCCAAAAAGUCGAUUUUUUGGGAGGGUACAAAAUGGAGGGGGUGGUCCGAUUUGGAUGAAAUUCGGGAUUUUUGCAUGUUUUGAUAGUCUCAACAGCUCUGUCACUUCUUAGAAAAUUACGUCACGAAAUCGCUGCCACCAACAAAUCUCUUGAGGAGUAUGUCUAACAGACUUAACAAUGGUUCCGGAACUGAGCUGAGCAGGAGCUUGGGCAAGCUUUGUCACCGGAAACGCUCCCACAGACAUUUGCUGUGAUUCGCCUCAGACCCUGAACCAGAUUUAUCUACCGUAACAAACCAACAGUGGUGUUUGGUGCGCUGAACUUGGCCGGUGUGUGGGAGUUGCUGUCCAUGGCGGUCCGUGGUGAAAUGACUUCCACCGGAGUCUAAUCUAUUCCGAGGGGGAGUUAAAGGUUUCCGGAUCGCAUCUUUUUAUGUUAGCUCUUCAAUACAGGUUUAAUUUAGCAAGUUAAAAGAGACUUUAGAGGAUUAUUUUCCGUAAUUUUUUAACACAAUUGAACACAAAACACUCUGCUAGAAAAUCAAAAUUGAAGUUUUGAUCCUCAGUCAAUGAAGUCAGAAAACAAAUCAAAAGAAUUGACCAAAAAAAUCCAAAAAAGUACACGUUACGGAGAAGUUGGUUAAUAAACUUUACUAAAAUUCUUGACUUAUUUUGUAUUUUGACAUAAACGUGAACUUCAGUAGUACGGUUUGUGUCUUGGAUAAGGGAAUUUGGCUCGUUUAGCUAGAUUAUGCAUGAUUCUAUUAGAGCGUGUAAUACCUGUUUUUGUUUUGAUUUGUUUUGAUUAUAAUUUUCUGGUUUGUUUCGUUUCAUUGAGUUGGUUUGGUGCUGUUCGGUGCACAGAUCAGUUUUCGGAUUGCUUUUCAGGGUUUUUUUACGCUGGAGGAUGGACUGUCCCCCUGCUGAUGCUACCUUUAGGAAUCGGUCCACCGGUGGCUAGCAGCACCAGCUGGAGUUGCUAAAAAUGUCGUGAUUGUGUUUUGCUUUAAAUUGCGAUUCUGAUGUUCUUCUUAAACUGCAGGUUCAACAGCACACGAUCUUUUCCUGCACCGUUGAGAGCUCCGGAAAUCCGGAAGUGGGUUCAAGAGGCUUCAACACAUCGUGAUAAACUUCAUCAUCCCGGUACGAGUAUCAAACUCACGGCCUCUGGAUUAGAAACCCAGCACGCCGCUAGUCGAAACCCAUUCCCUACCGGUCAGUAUUCCCAGUGAGCAUAUUUACUCUUUUAAGGUGAUCAUCAACCUUAAGUUCUGACUCGCCGAUUCUCGACGGUAAAUCUCGACGUCUGCUUAUUAUUCGCUCCAUAAGAAUCAGCAUCAAAGCCGAAAACCGAAAGGGACACAACCAAUUUGCGAAUGACCAGUAAGAGAAUCAAUAGUAGAAGUGCGGCAUGCGCUCACGACACCGGAAUCAUUCCGGACAUGGCAGUACCGCCUAUUGUAGGAGCCCUUGGCGCUGAUGGAAACGCCUACCCUGGUCAACCGAUGACUUUUAAAAACCGUAAGUAAAAGACUAAAUAUAUUUGUCAUUUUUAUUCUUAACUAACUCUGCAUACAUCUAAAACUUGUUUACAAACAAACUUUAUAAUUAGAUUACUUCAAAUCUUCUUGAAUUUAAAUAUUUUUGACAAAGAACUUUGUCCUAAGGGCUCUAUUCUGAUGAGGUGUCAAUCCAGAAAAACGAAAAAUGUCGCGCGUUACGAAAAUGUUGCAUGCUUGGUACUGGGGAAGAGGUCUGCGACGCAACAAGGCACUGUUGCGUCACCAUUUCGAGCCAAUAUAAACCCCGCUCGAUCCGCCCUAGAAAAUCAUUCUAUCGCUGGACGCCGAGGAGUGAACAACAACCUGGACCUGGAAGCAGAUGGCCUGGAGGCCCAGAAGCAAUUGGCCGAAAAGCAGCUGGCCUGGAGCAUGGAGCAGCCCAAGCGGAGGCAGGCCAGCCGGAAUAUUCUGGCCACAAGACCCGGAGUGGCCAGAACCCUCAGGGGUGUUCCGAUGGAAGGCCAUACGAGACGGGACAAUAUGGGUAUCAAACUUCUUGGAUUUUGAUACUGGUGAUGAAAAUGGCCA